rnacentral:rRNA from 1 species
AAAUGCUUGACUCUGUAGCGGGAAGGCGUAUUAUGCACACCCCGCGCCGCUGAGAAAAAGCGAAGCGGCACUGCUCUUUAACAAUUUAUCAGACAAUCUGUGUGGGCACUCGAAGAUACGGAUUCUUAACGUCGCAAGACGAAAAAUGAAUACCAAGUCUCAAGAGUGAACACGUAAUUCAUUACGAAGUUUAAUUCUUUGAGCAUCAAACUUUUAAAUUGAAGAGUUUGAUCAUGGCUCAGAUUGAACGCUGGCGGCAGGCCUAACACAUGCAAGUCGAACGGUAACAGGAAGCAGCUUGCUUCUUUGCUGACGAGUGGCGGACGGGUGAGUAAUGUCUGGGAAACUGCCUGAUGGAGGGGGAUAACUACUGGAAACGGUAGCUAAUACCGCAUAACGUCGCAAGACCAAAGAGGGGGACCUUCGGGCCUCUUGCCAUCGGAUGUGCCCAGAUGGGAUUAGCUAGUAGGUGGGGUAACGGCUCACCUAGGCGACGAUCCCUAG